CCACGAGUGCGCGAGGGGAGGGGAGGGCGGUUGUGGACGCUUGGCCCAGGUGCAUCUUGGGGCGCGUGAAUGAGCCGCAGCCAACCUAGGUUCCUAGGUUCCAUAGAAUUAAAAAGGCUGCGGAAAUCUGAUGUGUCAAAGGAUGAUGUCUAAACGGAGAGCGUAGACACUACCUCCCCGUGUCAAAGGGUGAUGUUUACACGUACAAGGAUCAGCUGUGGCAAAUAUAUGUAUAGGCAUCAGUACACACUGUACUUAUCGGACCAUCAUUCACACAAUGAGCUGCUUGAAAAAUAAACAAUAGAUAACUUUCACAGAAUUAGUACUGACCAAGAGAAUACCACCGGCUGGAGCAUCCUGGAAGCAGGAGCAGCAUCAGCUAGAGCAGGAAAAUGGGUUCAGAUGCAACGGCAGCUAAAGCACAAGAAAAUGAGCAUCGAAUUGCAAUGUGCAUAGGCCAUCGUCCAUUUGGAACAAACACAGGAAAAUAGGUUCAGAUGCAUUACAGCAGGUAAUAGAUAGCAUUGCCAUGCGGAUACAUUGUAAUUUAGGUAGUCUCUCAUGACAAAACAUAAUAAAACUAUAGAUACUAAUUUUGGUGAUCCAGCAAUCAGCAAUGUGCAAUCUGUUCAUCCAGAGCACAACAACAACAAAAUAGCUUGACUGCCAACCGAAUCAUCUGCAAGAAAGUGAGAGAACAAUAAGAGCUCCACAUGAUUACAAACAAGGAGCAGCUUAACAGAUUACUUGUCUUACAGAAAAAUUAUUUGUUAAUUUAUCAUAGAGAACUAUCUGAAAAUUGACAGUAAAAAGUACCUGCAAAGGUAACUUGCUUGAAAAUGCAUAAUUCUUAGGGAGUGUUUGGAUCCCCAGGCUAAACUUUAGUCCUUGUCACAUCGAAUGUUUAGAUACUAAUUAGGAGUAUUAAAUAUAGACUAUUUACAAAACCUAUUGC
rnacentral:lncRNA from 1 species